rnacentral:rRNA from 1 species
AGGACGAACGCUGGCGGUGUGCUUCACACAUGCAAGUCGAACGAGGUAGCAAUACCUAGUGGCGGACGGGUGAGUAACGCGUAGGAAUCUGCCUUCAAAUGGGGGAUAGCAGACCGAAAGGUCUAUUAAUACCGCAUACGUACAUAACUCGACAGAGUUAUAUAUAAAAAGGAGCAAUCCGUUUGAAGAUGAGCCUGCGUCCGAUUAGCUAGUUGGUAGGGUAAAGGCCUACCAAGGCGACGAUCGGUAGGUGGUCUGAGAGGAUGAUCACCCACAAUGGGACUGAGACACGGCCCAUACUCCUACGGGAGGCAGCAGUGGGGAAUUUUGUGCAAUGGGGGAAACCCUGACACAGCGACACCGCGUGAGCGAAGAAGCCCUUUGGGGUGUAAAGCUCUGUCGGCUGGAACGAGCUAACGUGACGGUACCUGCAGAAGAGUCCCGGCUACACGUGCCAGCAGCCGAC